AUGACCAGCUCCCCGAGCCCCUCCUUUCUGCUGCAGCCGCGGCAUUUCCCUCCGUGGCCACACGAGGGCACCCUUGGCCCUUUUAUCAAACGCCUUCACCUCCCCGUGGGAAUGGAGACAAUUGUGUCCAUGGUGUUUUCUGGAAGCACCCAGUUGCUACCCAGAUUUGUAUUUUUCUGUGAGGGUUCUGUGUGGUGUAGAUGCUGUGGGUUAGCCAGGCCUUGCUUCUCACAAGGGGCGUUUCUGGGUAGAACGUGGAUCUUACUCACCCUGGGGUCUGUGUGGGCUCGAGGAGAAUCCCAUCUCCCCUUAUGUUUCCGGUACAGGAUCAGAUGUGGCCGCCCAGCAGCUGCGCACGCUGGGAGGAGGAGGGUCCAGGUGGGAAAAGGGAGCGAGACGCAGGAAAGAGCACAGGCUUCAACGUUCAGACCUGGGUUCCCGCCAGUUCCAUUCCUUGCACGGGGAAUCCCUGACAUCCUCGUCCAUCUCCUGUGCCUUUCCGCUGGGUCAGCCUUCUCCCGCCACGCUUCUAACCCGCUGCCACCGGCAGCUCCGCUCUAGCUGCAGGGCCUGACUGGGCUCUGGUUUCUCAGAAGAGCUCAGAGGACCUGGCUCCUCCCUCUUUGCUUCUGAACUGCAUUUCUUUCCUUAUUACUCAGUGUCCACACCCACGGUGGCUGCCUGGAUAAAAAUCUGCCCCUUUCUCCCGUCACCUUUCAUGCCAGACAAAAGCCCCAGUAAGUAAUGGCGACCUACCCAGGCCCGGCUAGCAGCUCUCCAUUCCUGAGGGGCCUGGGGCAGAACGGGGUCGUGUGAGCUCCUGGACCCCAAGUCUGAUUCCCUUUCCCUGUCUUCCCACUCAUCUGCUAAGCUUGUUGAUUGGGUGCCACUGAGCAAAGUGAAUGAUUGUUCUUGCCUGGAACUAGGAGGGGUGGAGUUCCCUCUCCAUCUUCACCCCCUUCUGGGAGGCUUUCAGGGACUCACCACCCCACACUUGAUGCCUGGCCCAGACAGCCAAAGAAGAGGACCAGGCCGCUUCUCAACCCAGCUGACGCUUGGCAGCUUUGUGACCUCGGAUACACCUUCUCUUGGGAGGCCAGACCCCGUGAUCCUAACUCUUCAGCUAUGACAUCAUGUGAGGCUACAAUUUUUUUUUUUUUUUUUUAAGAGACAGUAUCUUGCUAUGUUGCCCGGGUUGGUUUUGAAAUCCUGGGCUCAGGCGAUUCUCCUGUCUCAGCCUCCCAAGUAGCUGGAACUUAGGGCGUGAGCCACCGCACCCACCUUCUGGAAAGGACAUGAAUAAGGAAGUGGAACUUGAUUGGACCUGUUCUGUGAGUUCAGGAGAGGUCCGCUGACAACUCACUUGGGGUGGGGAAAGGAGGUAAAGAGUCCUGUGGAAACCUCUGGCUGUGGGGACCCCAGUUCACUGAUGAUUGAAUGGGUCUACCUCUGUCAAAGGAGUUCAGAGUCCCGCUCAUCAUUCAGACUGGGGGAAUCAGGCUCAGCUGACUGGCCCAGCCUUAAAUCCACUGAAUUUCUUUUUAUCUCUACAUAGAAAAACAGGAUUACAGUCGCUUCUCAGUGUCCAGUGAGGAUUGGUUCCUGGAGCCCCCCGAAUACCCGUCCAGGGGUGAUGCUCUAACCUACACGCAUCCUCCCUUAUAUCCUCUAACUCAUCUCUGCGCUCCUCAAAUACCUCAUACCAUGUAAAUGCUGUGUAAACACUUCUUGUGCUGUGUUGGUUUUUAAAUUUGUAUUAUUUUUUCUUGUGUUUUUAAAAUAUUUUUCUUUUCCUGAAUAUUUUUGAUCCACGGUUAGUUGCCUCCAUGGGUGCAGAACCCACAGACACGGAGGCUGCCUCUACUCAGAUGAGCACGGCGGCGCCCUCUGGGUCCUCGUGUGGUCCUGUCUCUGGUGCUGCGUCCGCACGGCGGUGAACAGCAAAACUCAUCUUUUGCAAAUUAUCACUGUGGAGCGGAGUUCCGCUCUGUGACCUUUCGUCCCACUCUGGCUUACCAGAGGUCCCCUGGCCGUGGCCACAGCAUACCUAGCCUAGUGCUUGGCACCUCAGGCACACAAUAAAUCUUUAUGAAAUGGAUCUUCUCUGGUAUGUCUUGAGUGUACUAGUCUUCUGUUGCUUCCUCUUCGUCCUGCAGCCAGCUUCCUCCCAUGGGUCUCGUUUUAAUGAUGGCAUGUGAAAAGCUUCUCAGCUGCUUGCAAACGACGAGACGUCAGGCUUGAAGGGUUGGGACACCUUCUGGGACCUACUGUGAACACCUGUACUUUUGGCUUCACGCCCUUUCCCCCAUCUCAUGACUCAGGCUUUGGAGGGGUCGGCACUGAUUUUAGUAGCUCUGGGAGUUGAUACUUUGUUGGGUGAGUGGUGGGGGGAUAAGAAGACAGUUUCACUAAGGGGAUGUCUCUGGCUCAGCAUAUUAAAAAAUUGGGGAAUUGGU